rnacentral:lncRNA from 1 species
CACACUCUUACUGAGACAAGGAGCACCAGGUCAUCUUCAUGAAAGUCAAUAAUCAGGUUGUACUGGACAUGGUGAGUGA